rnacentral:lncRNA from 1 species
CUUGAAGAUUGUAAAGAUACUGUCAUCACUCAGAGCUGUGCAGGAAGGAAAGUUAGUGCAUGCAUUUGUCAGAGCUCAGCUGAGGUUGAAUGAAGUGAGACAGAGCAUGCCUGUAUUUUGCUGUAUGCAGCCUCCAAGUCCUGAUGUAGCCUUUAAAUACAAGCCUUGCUUUAACUUUUUGUCUAGAGUUCCUGCCUGUGCAGGAAGGGAUUGGCUGCAGCCAGCCAAUGUGCCCAGGCAAUGCUCUGGUCAUGAAAAGAGCUGAUAAUUCAUUGAAUCCAUGUCUGCUGGGAUGCCCAGGACUGGAUUUCUGCCUUGCAUCCAGCUCAGACCCUCUAACUCUGCAAGUGUUCCCAGGCUUUGGAAGAAUGAAUGACUGCUGGAGUGAGUUACAGCCCAUGUGGAUCCUAGAAAACACACUCCUACCACAGGCUACUCCAAGGAUUCCCAAGCUCAGCCCCAGCCAGGCUCCACCCAGACACCAGCAAAAGAAACCUGAUGUAAACAGAAGGUCUCAUCACUUACCUCCCAUCAUCCCAGCUCACUCUCCAGAUUCCACUGAGCAAAUAAGGUCCAGCAGGAAGAUACUGAUGGCUUUAUCAGUAUGAAAUACUCACAAUGCAUCACCUGCAUGCUUAGGAGUGUAAUGCUGACAAUAAAUAUGAUAAUAGUUGUCA